UACGGAGGGUGCAAGCGUUAUCCGGAUUCACUGGGUUUAAAGGGUGCGUAGGAGGGCAGGUAAGUCAGUGGUGAAAUCUCCGAGCUUAACUCGGAACUGCCGUUGAUACUAUCUGUCCUUGAAUCCCGUGGAGAUGAGCGGAAUAUGUCAUGUAGCGGUGAAAUGCUUAGAUAUGACAUAGAACACCAAUUGCGAAGGCAGCUCGUUACACGAAGAUUGACUCUGAGGCACGAAAGCGUGGGGAUCAAACAGG
rnacentral:rRNA from 1 species